rnacentral:rRNA from 1 species
CACACCGCCCGUCACACCAUGGGAGUUGGCUGUACCAGAAGUCAGGUAGCCUAACCGCAAGGAGGGCGCCUACCACGGUAUGGUCAAUGACUGGGGUG